rnacentral:rRNA from 1 species
AUGCAUAUAUUGGAAAUUGAGCUGAAAUCCGCUGUGCUUUGUCAAAAACCAUGUUCCCGCGAGGAACCAGGAUUCUUCACUAACAUGUCCAAAUUUGAGAUUGUGAUUUUAUUUUUCUGUGAUUACGAUCCACAUUCAUGCUGUUCGUGCCCAAAUUUCUUGCAUUCUGUCGAAAAUCUGGUCAAAGGGUGCAGAUUACACACCAGAUUUGGGAGUCAGAAGCAAGUUGUUAGUUUUCAGGUGGUGUUGCGGUUGCACGCCUCCGGCAUGCACCUUGAGCUACUGAAAAAAACCAUGAGAUGA